rnacentral:rRNA from 1 species
GGGAACAUACCCUUUUCUACGGAAUAGCUCUGGGAAACUGGAAUUAAUACCGCAUACGCCCUACGGGGGAAAGAUUUAUCGGGGUAUGAUGAGCCCGCGUUGGAUUAGCUAGUUGGUGGGGUAAAGGCCUACCAAGGCGACGAUCCAUAGCUGGUCUGAGAGGAUGAUCAGCCACAUUGGGACUGAGACACGGCCCAAACUCCUACGGGAGGCAGCAGUGGGGAAUAUUGGACAAUGGGCGCAAGCCUGAUCCAGCCAUGCCGCGUGAGUGAUGAAGGCCUUAGGGUUGUAAAGCUCUUUCACCGGAGAAGAUAAUGACGGUAUCCGGAGAAGAAGCCCCGGCUAACUUCGUGCCAGCAGCCGCGGUAAUACGAAGGGGGCUAGCGUUGUUCGGAAUUACUGGGCGUAAAGCGCACGUAGGCGGAUAUUUAAGUCAGGGGUGAAAUCCCAGAGCUCAACUCUGGAACUGCCUUUGAUACUGGGUAUCUUGAGUAUGGAAGAGGUAAGUGGAAUUGCGAGU